rnacentral:rRNA from 1 species
AGCAGCCGCGGUAAUUCCAGCUCCAAUAGCGUAUAUUAAAGUUGUUGCAGUUAAAAAAGCUCGUAGUUGAAUUUCGGGAUUGGCGCAUCGGUCGUGCCUUACGGGGUAUGAACUGGUGCAGUCAAUUUCUCACCUUCUGGAGAACCGCGAUGUCCUUAAUUGGGUGUCGCGGGGGAACCAGGACCUUUACUUUGAAAAAAUUAGAGUGUUUAAAGCAGGCAUUUUUGCUUGAAUACAUUAGCAUGGAAUAAUAAAAUAGGACGUUUGAUUCUAUUUUGUUGGUUUCUAGGAUCGACGUAAUGAUUAAUAGGGAUAGUUGGGGGCAUUAGUAUUCAAUUGUCAGAGGUGAAAUUCUUGGAUUUUAUUGAAGACUAACUACUGCGAAAGCAUUUGCCAAGGAUGUUUUCAUUAAUCAAGAACGAAAGUUAGGGGAUCGAAGACGAUCAGAUACCGUCGUAGUCUUAACCAUAAACUAUGCCGACUAGGGAUCGGAUGAUGUUAUUUUUAAUGACUCACUCGG